rnacentral:misc_RNA from 1 species
GUUUUCCAUCAGCCACAUCAUCCUGUCGAACAGUAGAAAAGGCUGCAAAAGUGUUGAUGGCAUUCUGCCAGAUAGAACCUUUGACAUCCUCUCCAGACAAUUUUUUAUGCAACAACUGAUUCCUAAUGUGUCUGGGGUGCAGAAGCCGACUGACUUUCAACAUCGUCGCAGUAAGGAGGGAGAGAGGCCUUCAAAGUUCAAAUUGCUGCUUAUUUCUUCUUCCUCGGACAAAAUUUCUACUAUGUGCUCUCAAUUCAA